UGGUCCUCUCUGGGUUGCUGAUUGAUUCU
rnacentral:piRNA from 1 species